CGCUGUACCCAAUGAUUUAGGCUAAAAUGCUAAAAUGCAGCACAAGCCACCAAGUAGCCUAAUGCUGGUGAGGACGACCCUUCGAACUCCUUAUUCUUGAUCAUUGUAUUUGAAAAAUGCAUUAAAAUUGUAAAAACAAUUGGCAUGUCCAAUCUUUUAUUGCAGAGAAUCAUCUUGGUCUCUCACAUGGCUUAACCCUGGAGCGUGAGGGCUCAAGACCUCCUUCUCCCUUAAUUGAGCGAUCCCCCUCACAAAAUCAUUGCAAAGGAUCAGAACAUUUUCCUGUGACAGACGCAAGUAUGAAACUCUCCAUUUUGAAUUUUUGUUUCAAGUUUGGUAGAAAUUAUAUUGUGUUUAUAUUGUGUUUAUGUGUGUAGAAAAAUGCUUGAUGUUAUUUUACACUUGCAUGUUGCUGUUUUUUUGGCCUUCCCAAGCCUCGACUAAAAUCUGCUCUGAAGCGCCAGAAAAUCUGUGCCAAUGCCACUAAGAAGCAAAAGGCUAAAACGCCCUGCAAUCCACUAAGUAUUGGUGGUGAGGGGAAAUGUCAAACUAAAACACCACGCAAGCCUCCAAGUGAUUAUAGUGAGGAGGACCCUUUACAACGUCAGCCAACCCCUUAUUGUCAUUCUCGAUCAAUGUAUUUGGGAAAUGUAUUGUAAUUGUACUAAGAAUUGCCAUGAUGCUGUCCAAUAUUUUACUGCAGAGAAUCUUCAGCAUUCAUGCUCCGGAAAAUUGGGAAAUGAGAGAUGAGAGAUCCCCCUCAUCAAAGCGUUGCAAAGGCUCAGACCCUUUUACUAUGCCGGAAGCAAAUAUCUCAAAGCUGGAUGGGAAAGACAUCUUGGACCUGAUGAAGAUAGCAAUGCACCGAACCCUGACAAACAGUCCUAUGACAACAAUGAAUAUGGAGGGAAACAAAGGGAAGAGGGCCUCCAAACUUUGCAGCGUCAUAAUA